rnacentral:rRNA from 1 species
UACAGAGGUCUCAAGCGUUGUUCGGAUUCAUUGGGCGUAAAGGGUGCGUAGGUGGCGCCGUAAGUCGGGUGUGAAAUCUCGGAGCUUAACUCCGAAACUGCAUUCGAUACUGCCGUGCUUGAGGACUGGAGAGGAGACUGGAAUUUACGGUGUAGCGGUGAAAUGCGUAGAUAUCGUAAGGAAGACCAGUGGCGAAGGCGGGUCUCUGGGCAGUAACUGACGCUGAGGAGCGAAAGCGUGGGGAGCGAACAGG